CGCCACGCUGUUUUCGCGGCUAAAGGCCGCGCGGCUGACUGCGAGAGCCCGCGCGAGUUUCGAGAGCGGGCCCUGCGCGCCUGAUGGGUCGAGGCGGACGCGCGGCUGCGUCAGGUUAUCCAAGGACAUGGAAAAGCCAACACCAUGGUAGCAUUAAUGAAAGUUUACCAAGAGGAAGAUGAAGCCUACCAGGAAUUAGUUACCAUGGCAACCAUGUUUUUCCAGUACUUACUGCAGCCAUUUAGGGCUAUGCGAGAAGUUGCAACUUUAUAAUUCCUUGGAUGAGGAUGACGUAGGUCCUACGUCUCCAGGAUAGUUGCCCUGGAGAAAGAAGCUGAAGAAUGGACCAGACGGGCUGAAGAAGCUGUUGUCUCUAUUCAAGAUAUCACAGUGAAUUAUUUUAAUUAGACAGUAAAAGCAUUAGCAGGAAUGCAAAAAGAAAUGGAACAGGAUGUGAAGAGAUUUGGCCAGGCUGCCUGGGCCACAGCAAUUCCCAGGUUGGAAAAACUUAAGCUAAUGCUAGCUCAAGAGACUCUGCAACUCAUGAGAGCGAAAGAAUUGUAUUUAAAUCGCAAAAGAGCUGAAAUUCAGGGAAAGAUGGAAGAUCUUCCAGAACAAGAAAAAAAUAUAAAUGUUGUAGAUGAAUUAGAAAUGCAAUUUUAUGAAAUUCAGUUAGAACUAUAUGAAGUUAAAUUUGAGAUAUUAAAAAACGAAGAAAUACUGCUUACUACACAGUUGGACUCUCUUAAAAGACUUAUAAA
rnacentral:lncRNA from 1 species